AGAGAUCCAGUUGUCGGUGAGUGGCACUCAGUGUGAAUUUACCCAUUGCAAAAUGUCCUUGAAGCUGCUUUUCUGUUCCUGGUAAAUAGCAGUGAAGUCGGUUGGGCAGCAAUCAGAAGAAAUAUCGGAAAAGGCAGAGUGAACUGAAAUGAAGUCUAACUGUACGAAAUAACGAAGGGAAAAAACACCGAAGAAGAUGGGACUGUGUGUUACACAGAAAGGCGUAAGUCUGGCUCAGGCUACAUCCAUGAAAGGCAACAUUGAUCAAACCAAAGGGAAGGAAGAGAGUUUGAAUUUAUAUAGGAAGCAGGUGAACCUUACAAAAUUAUCAAGGGUUGAUCUCCUGGGGUCAAAACAAGGCAGGGAAAAGCGUAACAAGGAUGGAAAUCUAUUUUAAGAGGUUUUAUGAGUGAAGGAAUUUGUUGGGACUGAAAUAUCUCUUUUUGCUGC